rnacentral:tRNA from 1 species
GGGCGUUUAGCGCAGUGGUAGCGCGUAUGCUUUGCAAGGCACUGUACUUCUGCAGAUCCAAAUAUUUGUAUAAGGUCCAGGGUUCAAUCCCCUGAACGUCCA